CCUACGGGAGGCAGCAGUGGGGAAUCUUGCGCAAUGGGCGAAAGCCUGACGCAGCAACGCCGCGUGCGGGAAGAAGGCUUUCGGGCUGUAAACCGCUUUCAGCAGGAACGAAAAUGACGGUACCUGCAGAAGAAGGAGCGGCCAACUAUGUGCCAGCAGCCGCGGUGAUACAUAGGCUUCAAGCGUUGUCCGGAUUUAUUGGGCGUAAAGAGUUCGUAGGCGGUCGAGUAAGUCGGGUGUGAAAAUUCUGGGCUCAACCCAGAGACGCCACCCGAUACUGCUUGACUUGAGUUCGAUAGGGGAGUGGGGAAUUCCUAGUGUAGCGGUGAAAUGCGCAGAUAUUAGGAGGAACACCGGUGGCGAAGGCGCCACUCUGGAUCGAUACUGACGCUGAGGAACGAAAGCAUGGGUAGCAAACAGGAUUAGAUACCCUGGUAGUCCAUGCCGUAAACGGUGGGCACUAGGUGUGGGUUUCUAUUAACGAAAUCCGCGCCGUCGCUAACGCAUUAAGUGCCCCGCCUGGGGGAGGUACGGUCGCGAGACUAACUACAAUAGAGUAGACGCGNGAGACGNGCGACGACGACGACGAGGAGUAGG
rnacentral:rRNA from 1 species